rnacentral:rRNA from 1 species
GGUAGCCUUGCUUACUCUGGAUGAGUUAGCGAACGGGUGGAGUAACGACGUAGGUAAACCGUUGGACCUGGGUUAGCGGGGGAGUAACUAUUAGGUAAACGAUAAGCUAAUACCGCAUAACAGUAGAUGUUGUCAUGUACAUUUGCUUAAAAGGUGCAAUUGCAUCACUACCAGAUGGACCUGCGUUGUAUUAGCUAGUUGGUGGGUAACGGCUCACCAAGGCGACGAUACAUAGCCGACCUGAGAGGGUGAUCGGCCACACUGGGACUGAGACCACGGCCCAGACUCCUACGGGAGGCAGCAGUAGGGAAUCUUCGGCAAUGGACGGAAAUCUGACCGAGCAACGCCGCGUGAGUGAAGAAGGUUUUCGGAUCGUAAAGCUCUGUUGUAAGAGAAGAGCGAGUGUGAGAGUGGAAAGUUCACACUGUGACGGUAUCUUACCAGAAAGGGACGGCUAACUACGUG